GAGGAAAGAGGGGGGCGUGCCUAAUACAUGCAAGUCGAGCGAACAGACGAGGAGCUUGCUCCUCUGACGUUAGCGGCGGACGGGUGAGUAACACGUGGAUAACCUACCUAUAAGACUGGGAUAACUUCGGGAAACCGGAGCUAAUACCGGAUAAUAUAUUGAACCGCAUGGUUCAAUAGUGAAAGACGGUUUUGCUGUCACUUAUAGAUGGAUCCGCGCCGCAUUAGCUAGUUGGUAAGGUAACGGCUUACCAAGGCAACGAUGCGUAGCCGACCUGAGAGGGUGAUCGGCCACACUGGAACUGAGACACGGUCCAGACUCCUACGGGAGGCAGCAGUAGGGAAUCUUCCGCAAUGGGCGAAAGCCUGACGGAGCAACGCCGCGUGAGUGAUGAAGGUCUUCGGAUCGUAAAACUCUGUUAUUAGGGAAGAACAAAUGUGUAAGUAACUAUGCACGUCUUGACGGUACCUAAUCAGAAAGCCACGGCUAACUACGUG
rnacentral:rRNA from 1 species